ACCUGGGACAAAUCCAACAAUGACUCAACAGCUUCCCUCCGUGGAGAACCUGCAGCCUGCUGUCGGAAAAUGCAGUCACCUCACAGCAACCAGCAGGAUCCAUAAACUCCUGGGAACCAGUGAAUGUCACUUUACCUACAUAAGACAAAGAAAGAGAAUAUGAAUGGAAAAAAACAUCAGUGUGGAUGAUGAUG